CAGUCGCCACGGUAAUACGAAGGGUGCAAGCGUUAAUCGGAAUUACUGGGCGUAAAGCGUGCGUAGGCGGUGAGUUAAGUCUGCUGUGAAAUCCCCGGGCUCAACCUGGGAAUGGCAGUGGAUACUGGCUCGCUAGAGUGUGUCAGAGGAUGGUGGAAUUCCCGGUGUAGCGGUGAAAUGUGUAGAGAUCGGGAGGAACAUCAGUGGCGAAGGCGGCCAUCUGGGACAACACUGACGCUGAGGCACGAAAGCGUGGGGAGCAAACAGGAUUAGAUACCCCUGUAGUCCCUGUCUCUUAUAC
rnacentral:rRNA from 1 species